GGAAAGGUGGCAGAGUUGGUUAAUGCGGUUGUCUUGAAAACAGCAGCCAUUAAAGUGGUUCGUGAGUUCGAAUCUCACCCUUUCCC
rnacentral:tRNA from 9 species